rnacentral:lncRNA from 1 species
GGACGAACCACGUGAUAAGAGUACACCACAAAGGAUGCUUAUCCUUAGGCCGAUAAACCCUACCCGUCCUGCUAACGAGGGGUGGACUACAGAGGACCAACGUAACUGUCACCUACGCGGCCUACCACACGAUCCAGCUAGACAGGGGAUAUCCACAAGUAAUCUAGGUCUAAGCACCACGCUUACACCUAUACUACAACUCUCACCUAUAGCGUCCUAUAGAUUAAAGUACUCAAAAGAGUUGUGAACCAGAACAUACAUAAUUAGUAAUUGCAUAAUGAAUUAGAAGUAGAUUACCAGAGUCAUCCCAUGAGCAAGCUUGAUUAGAGCUUGAUCAUGACGAAGUACAACCGCAGGAAGAACCGACAGGCCGACCUCUCCUCUAAUCCUCCUUCGCUCUCCAUCUUGCUACUAUCUAGAUCUACUCUAGUUUAGAGAAGAGAGGAGAGCUCUCAUCUCUAAACCCUAGCUUUUGCUCUGUCUAUGAAUAAUGAAUAAUGAUCAAGGGGUGCCUCCUCCAGGGGCCAGGGGGUCUGGUUAUAUAGUCCCCUCAAGUGAACCUGGGCCGUCGGAUCAAACCGACAUUGAUUGAACGGUUAUUCUUGAUCCUUUAGGUCGGUGGAGCAUAAUCCGCGAGGUUGAACGUGAUUGGCCACUGUAGCAGGGCGGGCGCCCUAAGGACUUGGGCGGGCGCCCAGGUCCUGGCUCCGUUCGGCCUCCGCUUCCUUCUCGUGGCUUCUGGAGUCUUCUAGAUGUAAAAUAAUUGUGCGGCACGUUGAUAUCUCUAUGUAAUCCCGACGUGUGGGCCAUUCUUCCGUAUUUCCUGAUAACCCCCUGCAGAAAUAGACAAACACCAAAACUCGUGGAAUUCUGUCAGAUAAAACCCUAAGUCUAGAUGUUGAUUUCAUUUGGAUCCUUUUCUUUGUUUAUUUGAUAAUUAAAUUUGAUACUUAAGGACCGUCAACAAACUCCCCCAAGCUUACCUCUUGCUCGUCCCUGAGCAAGGAUAGACUCAGCGAUGGAUCAGAAGUUGUUGCAAUAUCUUAAAAAUUUGACGGUACACAUGCUUUUAAAUAAGAUCUCAUCUCUGAGUUAGAGUAAACAGUCAAGAACUAAAACUUACUUACUUUAUCUUUCACCAUGGGACUGGUAACCGUCACUUCUGUCUUGAGUAGUCUAGCCAAGUGCCAUGUCUCUUAUUCUUGAUCAGCUAUAGCUCUAGAGUUUUUGCAGACUUUCAAAUAAAACUCAGAGAUUCCUUGUAUGACUCUCUAAAUCUCUCUUUUGUGGUUUUUCUGGAUCCUUACCAAGGCAUUGAUGGUAUAUGCCUUCUCUCAAGAUAUGUGGUAUUUGUGGUAUAAGGCAUAGUGACAUUGCCUUCUCUCUCACCCUACUCUAAUAAGGCUUUAAUAUCUGGAGCUCAUAGGUGGGAGACAGCUAAUACAUACUUACAAGACAUUAAUUGCAUAGUCAAACCAUGGAUCCAGAGAAACAAGUCAAUAAGUCAAAUCAAGAUGUGCAUGUGUGGCGAAUGAAUGGUGUAUGGUGAUGAUGGUGAUAACAAUGGUGAAAGUCUAAUUCUACUUUUGCUCUUUUGAGGGGAUACAUACCUUCCUUGCUUUUUGAAACUUUAUGAGGAGAAUGAGAUGCUCUUUCUUUUUCUUUCCUCUCAGGUGGGUAUCCUGUACCCCUAAUUCUACUGUCGGAUACUUGUCCAUUUUUACCUCUCGUCUCACUCUUUUUCUUUUCUUUCGAGGUUCCGGGCACUUGCCCCUUUUUAUUUCCUCGUUUAUUUUUUAUUUUUUUUCUUUUUUUUUCAGAACACUCAUCUCUUGAGAUAAUAUAGCAAGUGGUAGUAGCAAGAUAACUUGAGCAUUUAUUUCACAAGGGAAAACAGAAAUAUUUUUGGCUAUUCUCUCCCGGAUUAGGAGUAGAAUAUUUUUGGGUGGUUCUGGAGAUGGACAUGGAUGGAUAUAUGUGGAUGGUACUUCCGGAGUAGAAGUAGCAUAUAUGAGUGAACGUGCAAGUGAAUCUUGAUUUUAACCGCAUGACAAGCUCCUAAGGGUCUACACAGCUUGACCACACUCAAUGCUCAUAAGCAGUAAAUAGUAAAUGUGUGGCUCAAAGUCUAGCAAGCAUGUAUAUAUGGCUGUGGUAGGAAUUUAAACUUUCAUCAUACAGGAACUCAUCAUGCAAUAUUUUAAAGAUUUUUCAAAGAUAAAAUUCUCCAGAAUUCUAGCAUCUCUAGGAACAGAUAAACAACAGCUCAACCUUCCCAUAUCAUAUCCGUUAACAACUUAGAUUUCAGAUCAAGUUUUCAUCCCACAAGUUUAGAUCUAGAGCAAGCUUUAAAUUAUAACAGUUAUGUCUAAACUUGAGAGAGAACUUCAAAUUUGCAAAUUAGGCAGAGCAACUAUUCAUCAUAUCCAUGCUAGAGUUUUAUUAUUAAGAUUCAGAUUAGCAUAGCCACUUUAUUUAUUUAUUAAACACAUUAAGCAAAAGAUAUAUAUAUAUAUAAGCACAAAAUCUUUAUUUGGUUUUUCAUAGUUUAUGUAUUUUAAUAUUCUAAUAUAAUAUAAGUAUAAAGAUAGGUAGAAAUACUUAGCGUGAUAAAUGGGGGUGCUCUCCCCCAAGCUGAAUUUUGACGUAAUUUCUCUUGAUGUAGCUAGCAGGUGGUAGAGGUGUAUUUGGAAGUCAGCAGCAUUCUGACAGCGAUUAGAAUGUCCUCCGUCUGCUAGUCUUCUUGAUUCUUAAAUUCUGUGGAGCUCAAAUAGACAACAAAGCUUGUGGAACUAAUUAAGUGUUAGCAUAAAUAUCUAGCCUUCAUCAUGUUGAGCUUCCUCAAUAAAUAUUACUCCCUAUUUUUUUAUAAAGCAGAAAAGAAAUAUUUAUUUUAUUUUUAUGCCACCACAGUGAAGGUACUUAUGGGUUUUAUGCCACUCGUAUACUCAUAUGGGGCUUAGUAUUUUUUUAACAUUUUUAUUUUCUUUUCAAGAUAGCAUGAUUAACUAAUAAUCUAUUUAAGGAAAGUAAAUAAUUAAAGAGAAAAGGGAAUGCAUAAAGGAUAAAUAUGGAUAACUACCGAUCUUACCUUUCGGCGAUGGUUCAAUGUUUUAAGUCUUCUUGACAAGACUUCUCACCGUGUUCAUUCUUCAGGUGCGUCAUUUGAUUCAGGUGCGGACCUUGACGUCUGCACCUCUUGAUACGGUGUCAUCCAUCUUCUUCGUUUGCCCAGCAGUUCGAAGUGCGGCGUUGGCAGCAUCCUGCUCAGUGUGUUUGUGCUCGUAGAUCCAAGUCCUUCACUUGGUGGAAUCUGGGAGUUGUAAAACUCCACCAUAUUUUGCUCGAAGUGUACCUGCUCAUAGAGACAAGGCAGAGAUCAAGUGCAUGGGCCCUAUUGGUGGAAAACACCAACAGAACCAAAAGUGUAUUUGUUCUUCUCUAACCCUAAGCAUAGUGAGCAAGACAAAAGUUGAUGGAUGAAAAGUUCAUGAGUGUAGCACUUAUAACAUUUGUCAGAUCAGAUCGCUCAACCUUAUGGAAAGAUAAUCUAUCUAUGUAUAUGUCUUUUUCUUUAUAUCUUUCAAAGAUUGAAUGUGUAACAUUUUAGCUCAUGUGGGAUCAUGGAGGUAGUACUAAGAACAAGGAUUAAAGGACUAAACAUGCUGAAUCAGUUGGGUUGGUUAAUCUAGAGUUGUAAAUCAUACAUGUUUGUCUCUUUUAUUUAUAUGAACGCUAGAACCAAGGAGAAGCUUAUAAAAGUGAUAGUCAAGUACUUUAAGAUGUUACCUUGCUUGAAGAGUGAUGGUACAAUAUCACCUUGUGGAAGCUUUCCUUUCUUAGCGGUUGUGCAUCGUGUUUGUGGCACCCUCCAUGGAUCAUCUCUCUAUGAUGAAUGAGCUAUGUCCUUCUUGUGCAAAUUGUUAAACUUCAUGUGUCACUCUCUUUGUCUCUGAUGUGAGUUUAUCUUAGGACUUCCCAAAUCGAUAUUGAAAGUUUUUCUAUAGGGGUUAGUCCGACAAAAAUAUACCAAUGUCUACACAAGCAGUUUUUAGUUCAAUAACCGAACUAGGCUCCAUGUCUAAUCAGAUUAAUGAGGGCUGUUUAACCUAAGCACCAUGCUUAAUUUAAAAGCCAAUAGAAGUAUGUGCAGUACUUCCAAACUAACACUUACUAGUAAAUAGACAAAAGUAACAUGACAACAUUUAUAGAGAUCUACUCAAGUGGAGAUGAAGUAGUGUGAUUAGUAUUUAACAAAUUGAGCAUGCCUUAAAGGUAGGGACAACCAACAUAGCAACAUGGCAAAGGAUGUUUUUAUGUAAAGUACUCCCCCAAGCUUGAAUUUUGUAGAAUUCAAGUUUGGAUGAAUUUAAUUCAGUGUUGCAUGAUGAUUGGUUGGACAUACCUUGUACUUGCUUGUCAUUCAUCUGAUCUUCUUGUUCCAAUCCUGGAAAGGUUAGUGACAAGAAUACCCGAAGGAAUAAUUUUUUACAAUUAUGCUUAUAUGCUCAAUACACAAGGUAAUAUUGCAAAUAAUUAAAAACUCAUGUUAUGAUCUGAUCAGUGCUUAUUUUAGGACACCAAGCUUGUUCUUGGGAAACCAUCAAUUUAUGUCGGCGAAGUGGUUUCCCUUCCAACGCUGACCUAAAUCACGAUCAACUCAACGAGAUCUGCAAUAUUUAUUAUAGACAUAUGCAUCGACAACCGUCCUUUUAAAGUUUUUAUAAAUAGAAAGGAAGAGGGGGUUGGAGAUCUCAAAUGUGGUGAUGUUGGAGAGACCAAUAGAUUGGGAAGAUGUUGCAUAUGAGCAUGGAGUAAACAAAGUGGCCAUGAAAUAAAUUCCAUACUCAUUAAUGUUGUCUUCGUCUCUAAUCUGAAUGUUCAUAGUUCCUCUUGGAUUGGUCUCACUUAUGUCCUCUUCUAUAGUUGGAUGAAUCCCAUCUUCAAAGGGAGUCAAGAACUCACCAUUUGAAAUUGAACCAAAGUCAGAAUUCAUUAAGGCUUCUUCCUUAUCCAUCCAUUCUACACAUUCUAGCCAUUUAGAACUUGUGAUCAAGAAAGGGGAGGUGUUAGAAUUUUCAAUAUGGCUUAGCUCUCCUUCACUUGAUAUGUCAUCCUCGACUUCUUCAUAACAGGAACCAGGACAUUCUCUAAGAGAACCAUUAUUGCGAGGAUUUGAAUUAUCCCUGCUUGAAGGUCUCUUAUGGAACCAGAUGUCUAACCAUCAGCAUCUGAAAGAUUUAAGGUCGGAAUUCCUUCCUCCGAAUUUUGGGGUAUUGAUGGUUUAGGAUCGAUAGCUAAAGUUUGGGAUUGAAGUGGUUGUGAUCUGGCUAUCGAAACUUCUUCUUCUUGUCUAGGAACUGGUUCUGUCUCUUUCUCAGGGAUAUAAAAGCUAGGAGACUUUCCACUUAAUAAAUCAAUCAAAUUCCAAGCUUCACUAGCAGAUAGGUGAUAGAAGGAUCCUCUAGAGGCUGUAUUCAAGGUUUGCUUAUUUUCCCCACUAAGGCCCUCAAAAAAGUGAAUUAGAAGAACUUCUUCUGGAAUAGAAAGCUUUGGGCCAGUGAGAGUAAGGUUAAUAAAGCGGUCCCAUGAUUUCCUAAGAGAUUCUUCUUCCAGUUGUCUAAAAGAAAUAAUCUCACGCCGAAGUUCCGCCACUUUGGAGAUUGGAAAAUAUUUAGAAAGAAAACUAUUAUGUAACUCCUUCCAAUCUCCAUGAACACUCCCUAUUUUGAGUUUGUACCAAUGUCUAGCUUUUCCCGUUAAAGAGAACAGAAAGAGCUUCUAUUUAAGGGUCUCAUCGGACAUUCCUUCUAUGCGAAGGAGGUCACAGACUCGAUAAAACUCUCUUAGGUGUGUGUAUGGGUUUUCCUCACCUUCUCCUGAGAAAGGUUUUUUUUGAACAAAUUCUAUGUAUUCGGGGUCUAUCUCAAAACUAGAUGCUAUGAUAGGCUUUGAAGAUUUUGGUGGUUCGAGAUGUGUGCCCGUAGGUCUAUGAAAUUCAUAGAUAGACAUGUUUGAAUUCAUGAUAGACCAGAGAUCAAGGAUUAGAUAAGAAGAAAGAAUAGCAGAGAUGAGGCAAAGGAUAAAAGGAAAUUUUUUUAUUUUUUUAGAAAAUGAUUAAGCUAGUUCGUAGUCAACUCAGCAACCGUUUCCCGGGCAAUGGCGCCAAAAAUGCUUGUUGACACUUGCUAACACCACUUGAAUACUAGGUUGUCAUCCCCAGCAUGGCACUAGAGUGUACUAUGGUAUUUAUACGCACACAGAUAAUCCGCAAGCGCACGGAUACCGUUGAAGCUUUUACCCAGUUAAAGGUUUUAUCGUAUCCACAGGGAAACGGGAGAACUGAUCUACGCUCUAACUUAACCAAGAUAAGUAAAUAGGUGUAAAUAGGAAAGAUGGUAGAAUCGAAUAAGAACAAUAUUAAAGGUAAGAUAACAGUCAGUGAUAAUAUGGGAAUAGAGAAUAUAGCAAUUCUAGUAUAUUGGCGAUGGUAGCAGAAUAGAGAGAAUAACUAUGGUUUCUCUACUUCAAAGGGGUAUGUCUAUGUCUGGGACGAACCACGUGAUAAGAGUACACCACAAAGGAUGCUUAUCCUUAGGCCGAUAAACCCUACCCGUCCUGCUAACGAGGGGUGGACUACAGAGGACCAACGUAACUGUCAUCUACGCGGCCUACCACACGAUCCAGCUAGACAGGGGAUAUCCACAAGUAAUCUAGGUCUAAGCACCACGCUUACACCUAUACUACAACUCUCACCUAUAGCGUCCUAUAGAUUAAAGUACUCAAAAGAGUUGUGAACCAGAACAUACAUAAUUAGUAAUUGCAUAAUGAAUUAGAAGUAGAUUACCAGAGUCAUCCCAUGAGCAAGCUUGAUUAGAGCUUGAUCAUGACGAAGUACAACCGGAGGAAGAACUGACAGGCC